rnacentral:rRNA from 1 species
UGCAGUCGACGCGCAUUUAUGUGAGUGGCGGACGGCUGAGUAACACGUUGGUACCUACCCCGAACUCGGGAAUAAGCACUGGAAACGGUGUCUAAUGCCCGAUAGUCUCCUUGGAGUAAAGAUUUAUCGGUUCGGGAGGGGCCUGCGCGAGAUUAGCUUGUUGGUGAGGUAAUGGCUCACCAAGGCUUCGAUCUCUAGGUGGUCUGAGAGGAUGAUCAUCCAGACUGGGACUGAGACACGGCCCAGACUCCUACGGGAGGCAGCAGUGAGGAAUCUUGCACAAUGGGGGAAACCCUGAUGCAGCAACGCCGCGUGGAGGAAGACGGCCCUAGGGUUGUAAACUCCUUUUAUUUGGGACGAACAUUGACGGUACCAAAUGAAUAAGAGGUGGCUAACUAUGUGCCGGCAGCCGCGGUAAUACAUAGACCUCGAGCGUUAUCCGGAUUUACUGGGCGUAAAGCGUGCGUANGCGGCUUGUCGCGUCUUCNGUGAAAUCCUCCCGCUUAACGGGAGAACGGUCGAAGAUACGGACAGGCUUGAGUUUGACAGAGGCAGACGGAAUUCUCGGUGUAGCGGUAAAAUGCGUUGAUAUCGAGAAGAACACCAAUGGCGAAGGNAGUCUGCUGGGUCAACACUGACGCUGANNACGAAAGCGUGGGGAGCGAACGGGAUUAGAUACCCCGGUAGUCCNCGCCGUAAACGAUGGGUACU